GACGUCGAUAUUCGACGUCAUAAACACGAUCAACUUUUGUGUUUAUGACGUCGAUAUUCGACGUCAUAAACACGAUCAACUUUGGUAUUGAUGACGUCGAUAUUCGACGUAAUAAACACGAUCAACUUUGGUGUAUAUGACGUCGAUAUUCGACGUCAUAAACACGAUCAACUUUGGUGUUUAUGACGUCGAUAUUCGACGUAAUAAACACGAUCAACUUUGGUGUUGAUGACGUCGAUACUCGACGUCAUAAACACGAUCAACUUUGGUGUUUAUGACGUCGAUAUUCGACGUC
rnacentral:miRNA from 1 species